rnacentral:rRNA from 1 species
GGCCACCGGGUUGUAAACCUCUUUUAGUAGGGAAGAAGCGAAAUGACGGUACCGCAGAAAAAGCACCGGCUAACACGUGCCAGCAGCCGCGGUAAACGUAGGGUGCAAGCGUGUCCGGAACAUUGGGCGAAAGAGUCGAGGCGGUGCGCGCGCGUGAAACCCGAGGCUAACCCGGGCCGCAGUGGGUACGGGCAGACAGAGUGCGGUAGGGGAGACGGAACCCUGGUGUAGCGGUGGAAUGCGCAGAUAUCAGGAGGAACACCGAUGGCGAAGGCAGAACUCUGGGCCGUAACUGACGCUGAGGAGCGAAAGCAUGGGGAGCGAACAGGACUAGAUACCCUGGUAGUCCAUGCCGUAAACGUUGGGCGCUAGAUGUAGGGACCUUUCCACGGUUUCUGUGUCGUAGCUAACGCAUUAAGCGCCCCGCCUGGGGAGUACGGCCGCAAGGCUAAAACUCAAAGGAAUUGACGGGGGCCCGCACAAGCGGCGGAGCACUCGGAUUAAUUCGAUGCAACGCGAAGAACCUUACCAAGGCUUGACAUACACCGGAAACGGCCAGAGAUGGUCGCCCUCCUUGUGGUCGGUGUACAGGUGGUGCAU